AAUCAAAUACAAUCAAGGUCCAACUAUGGAACCAAAAUAAAAGAAGACUACCCCUAAUACUACAGAUCCCCGAUCGCCCCAACUGGGCUCCACUACUAAUCAACUGGAAACAAGACACUACUACAAAAACUGGCAUUAACGACGAUGUCCCAAAAACCCUUGGUCGUUAAACAACAAAGCGAAGUCCCCACACAUUGAAAUAGAGCCUAUGUAAUAGCUUCAACAACCACUGGUCUACCCAUCGCUAAUUGAGCGGCCGAUAAUGUUGUGAUAUGGGUUUUGCACGUAACAGCGGACAUCUAUUUUUUUACAUAGCAAAUAUCUAUUUUAAUCUGUGAGGAUCCUAUCUCCCUGCGCCUCUUUCUCCUCUCAUCCCGCGAGACCUUCAUGGUCCAUAGAUCGCAUCUACCUUCUGCUCUAUGCCUAUCCGCAUUGCAUCCCUCACCUCGCUAGUCUCCUGGACCAUGGCUUGUCCGCGAUGCUGCCUGCAUGUCGUCAAUAACCUCGACCCCGGUGCGGCCGCACUGCCGCCUGCACAUCGCCUGUCGCCUCGACCCCAGCGCAGCCGUGCUGCCGCCUGCACGUCGCUGGUAGCCCCGACCCUGGUGCGCGCGUGCUGUCGCAUGCACUUUGUCGGUCGCCUCGACCACGGUGCGGCCGCGCUGCCGCCUGCACGUCGCCCGUAGCUUCAACCCUGAUGCACCCACGCUACCGCUUGCUCAUCUCCAUCCACUCUGCUGCUACAGGUAGAAUUUGGUACUUAUGUUUUCAGAAAUUUUGAUGAAGUUCGACCAUAUAUUAGUGAGUACUCCAGUGGUCAAGAUGGAUGUUCACCACAACCAUUUACCACCAUGUGGAACCAGAAGUCCAGUCAGUGGUUCAAAAGAGAAGGUAAGACAAAGGAUUCCAGAAUAAAGUGUGUAUGUAGAUGCAUAUGCAUGUACAUAUCAGUAUCUCUGUGUGAAGAUGUUAAACAUAGCUAUUUAUGUAUCUCUGUGUGAAGAUGUUAACAUAGCUACAUAGUCAAAUAUUUUUUGCUUUCACGAACAUGAUAUGAGUGAGCUCAACGUAGGCUUUUUGGCACUAUCACAUGGUCGAAAAUGUAACAUAUUUUACUAGCUAUGACAGGAGUAGAUUCAGAUGUUGUGUUCAAAUUCGAGAUAGACUCCUCUGCACACAGACCAAUGGGGUGGCUAUCCUUUUAGAAGAAGGGGAUAAUAAUUGGUAAUACAAUAGAAUAUUAUGCCAUAUUGACAGACAUAGUCGAGCUGCAAUAUUUAGAUGGAAGGCGUGUGACAUUAUUUCGUUGCAACUAGAUUGACGUAUUUAACAAAGAGCAUGGAAUGAAGUAAGACAACAAGAAUGGAAUCAUUAGGCUUAACCUGCAGUGUUUGCUUUAGACAGAUGAGCCUUUCAUUCUGGAUAGCAAAGUUUUUUUAAAAAAAUAUUAUUAAGGACAAACUUAUAAAAGGAUGGCACACAAUUGUGAAAAAAUCCAUCACGUCAUGCUUAUAAUGUACCACAUGGACAGUCCGAUGAUAUACCCUCUGAACUUGAACCUGGCAAUAGUGACAAAGACGACUUCUUUCAAAAAUUAACAACAACGUCAUGUAGAAAGAGAACAACAUGAGGCCACUAGUUUAUUCAAGUCUUAAUCUGUAGUAUUUGAUUUGCUUCUUAUAUUAGCUUUUACCUUAUUAAUAAACAGUGACACAAGUAGUUCUGUACUUACUUUAUUUGAUUUAGCAUUCACUUAUUUAACUUAAAUUGUACUUUGUAUAGCCUUUGUGCACACUUCAACCAAACGCUAUAUAUAUAGACACACACACACAUGUUAUCACAGUGAGUCAUCAUAGGUAUGGAAACUUGACAACAUUAGCUUGGGAAAGAUGCUUUCACAAAUGAAUAAGUCUGGACUGGUACACAAAGGCAUUGCUAGGCGGACCUUCGUGGAGAAAUCAAGUCAAUUAGCAGAUUUCAGCAGAAAAGGGUUACCCACAGGCUCAAAUGCAAGAUGCGGAACUGUGAAAAAAAAUUACAAGUUAGCUACAAAAGAUGGAAACGAUGCGCUAACAAAUACACCAAUCUUGUUUAGUACAAAUUGGGAUGCAGGUGAUUCCAAAAGUGAGUCUCUAUGAAUGAUCAAGUUGAUGCCAGCAAUGAAAGUGACAUGGGAAAUUCAAUGGAUGAAUUCUAUGGAUUGAUGGUCCACCGUGAUAUAUAGAAGUAUCAAGUAUCAGGAGGCAGUGUAAGAGCUGAUGAAGAAUGGUAUCCAUUCGAACAAUGAUGGUGUCCCUCGAUUGAAGAUAGAUAAAUAUUAUAUUUUCUAGUUGUCUCGUUUUCCAAAUAGAUAUGAUCAAGUCCAUUGGUCAUAUAAGGAUUGCUUUUGACUCAAAUUUCUGAAAUGAUAUUUUUUCAGAAUUGUAUGUCAGAAUAUUGGUAUUUCUAUCUAUUAAUGAAAGAGGCUAUGACCCUUAGAAUUCA